rnacentral:rRNA from 1 species
CCUACGUGAGGCAGCAGUGAGGAAUAUUGGUCAAUGGGCGCGAGCCUGAACCAGCCAAGUAGCGUGAAGGAUGACUGCCCUACGGGUUGUAAACUUCUUUUAUAAAGGAAUAAAGUGAGGCACGUGUGCCUUUUUGUAUGUACUUUAUGAAUAAGGAUCGGCUAACUCCGUGCCAGCAGCCGCGGUAAUACGGAGGAUCCGAGCGUUAUCCGGAUUUAUUGGGUUUAAAGGGAGCGUAGAUGGGUUGUUAAGUCAGUUGUGAAAGUUUGCGGAUCAACCGUAAAAUUGCAAUUGAUACUGGCAGUCUUGAGUACAGUUGAGGUAGGCGGAAUUCGUGGUGUAGCGGUGAAAUGCUUAGAUAUCACGAAGAACUCCGAUUGCGAAGGCAGCUUACUAAACUGCCACUGACAUUGAUGCUCGAAAGUGUGGGUAUCAAACAGGAUUAGAUACCCUAGUAGUC